AUGCCCCUCUUGUGGCUUGCUCUCAACACUUCACACAUCGGCACUGUUGGGGUCACAGCUGUGGCCGGGAUCUCUGACUCAACAGGGCUAGAGUCUCUCUAUAGCUGCUGUGUCCUCGCUGGCUCCGGGAGCGCCUUUCCCCAGGAGAGGGCAGUGGAGCCCGCACACGCUCCGCGCUCCCCGCCCGGCAGCGGCGGGAGCAGCCGCUCCCUCGGCUCUUCCGUGGGAAACUCAUGGGGUGAGUGCAAGUAGGACCACGGAUUUUAUAUAUAUGCUGGAAACCGUGCACAGGAACAUCCAGGAAAUGUUCUGUGUAUUUAAUAACGGGAAUAAGUUCUGAGCAAACAAGUUUGUUGUUGCUUUUAUUUGACUGGAAGUCUUCUCUGUCACACAUACUUGUUCACAGCCACACGAACUUAAACUAGUAGUUUAUUGAUUCCACAUGGGUUUAUUUAAUUCCUAUAGCCCGAAUUAGAAAAAGUUAUUGACAUUUAAAUAACCCUUCAGAAUGCUGCUAGUGCUAUCCUGAGCCAAGGACUCACAAGAAAGUUAUUUACUUUUUUCAAAUUUACAGGCACUCAUCCUAAGACAACAAGCAGCCUUGGCUGAAAACCACAGAGUGGUUUCAAGGUACUGUAAUUAAGGGCAGACUGGGAUGCCUUCUCUGCUCCUUAACCAUCCCCUUCCCCUAGCAUGCCAGCAGCCAGCCAGAUGUUUUCUCUAAGUUCAUGUUUACAGCAGGUUUCCCUGGCUGGAUUCCAGGUUUUGGUGACUGGCCAGUGCAGACUAAGAGCCUAUAUCAGGCCUGUGAGGGGCAGCCAGGGCAGACUGAAGGGAAGUGGCUUUUGCCAGCAGCCUGGGAAUCCAGUAGACAGCCCUGGCCAAAACAGAAGGUGAAAUAGUAAACAAGCAUUUCUUCCUGUGAGGACAUGACAAAUCUUUCCCCAGUGAAAAGGGGAAAAUUUAGGAAACUCUGAAAUUCAGCUUUGGAGAGAAGAUUUUCUCUUUUACAUGAAACAUUAAAACCCACCAACCCCAACAUGAAUCUAGGCCAGAUUUAGGACAGACAGACAUUCUUUGCUGUUGUCAUCCAUCUCCAACCUGUAAACAGCUCCCUGUUCCCAAAUGAGUUCCUGCUCCCUAGGGCACCUGCUGAGCUGGGGCCACCUUAACCCUCCUGAAACAGCAGGAUGCAGCGUGGAAGCUGCAGGGUGUGUUUCCCAUGCAGGCCUGUUAGCACAGGAGGUCGGCU
rnacentral:lncRNA from 1 species